ensembl:lncRNA
UCCUAAGUCACAUGGAACAUUCUCUCUCAGCUGGGCCCAGAAGACAAAUAUCAAGUCCCCCCUGAGAGUAAGAGGACAAGAGAGCGGCUUCACGCCACAAAAGACUUCCAGUCUCCAUAAAAUGCUUGCACCCACUUGUUUUGGUGCCUCUCCUUGUCUGCCCCUCCAGCACAUAGACAGUCAGUGUCAGGUAUUUAUUUUAGAUUUUUUCUCUCCUUUAAUUCCUUGUGAAACUACACUCUCAGCUUUUGCUGAAUUUAGUACAACGCACCUAAAAUUUUCUGGCAGCUAUUACACCUGCAGACUUCAGAAGGAUUCUGCCUUUCUCCAAGAGCUCUGCAAUUCCUCUUUUACCAUGGCAAGCCCACUGUCCAGGAAGUCACUGUCCUUGUGAUUUAUUGAAUCACAAGGUGUUUGCCCUAGGAGCUCCCUGCAGCGCUGCUGAGCCACCGGGAGCCUGUUCCUGCAGGAAACACAGAGCCACAUCCACCUGGCCUCCAUCUGCCUGGUGCUUGCCACAGCUGUGCUUCACCAGUGUCCUUCCCUGGCCACCACCCACCUCUGCCCUUCGGUACCAACCCAAAUGCUGUGGCACGCUUUAGAGUUUCUCUAAACUCUCUCCCAAAGUCAGGGAGAGGUUGGAACAGGCAUCCAAAAAUAACUUUGUGCCGAGCUUUAAUCAAUGAACUUCAAAAGAUUUGCUGAUCCAGCCUGUGAAAUAUGAUUUUAGCUCCUCCUCCGUGGUGCAGCUUCCUCUAACAUGGAUCAACAGGGAAACCCCCACUGCAGCUCCAACAUCAGGUGCACAAAUAGCCAAGUCCACUAACAAGUAUUUCAUUAGAGCUCCAUAGCAACACUGAGCGCAAGGUAUCCUGGAAUACCUCAUCCAAAUGAUGCCAUUGACACAAACAAAGGCUGCACACCACUGGCUCUAAGGUGUAGCUGACAUAUAGUAGAUUUUGCCUCAUCUGUGAGUCAUUUUACUGCCUGGUUUUGCCUAGUGUUUUUUUUGUUUGUUUGGUUGGUUUUUUGUUUGGUUUUUUGUUUUUUUUUUUUUUUCCCCAGCAGGACUGCAGAAGAGUGAUAAUUAAUUUUCAAAUAACCAUGGACUCCUUUUCAACUUUUCCAGACUAAAACUGAAGUUCGUCCACUGGUGUCAACUGUAAUUAGGCAAUUUUACCACCUUGUUUUCCCAACCUCUAAAAAGGGUUUUCCUCAGAGAAUGAAAAUUUUAAUCAACUGAAAGGUCCCAUGUAGGUUAUAACUCUUUUUAUUUUCCUCUCAGGAAGAUUUGCCUGACCAAAACCUGAGGUGCACAAAAUGCAAGGAUUUGGAAUAGAAGCCUGAAACUGCAUCAGGAAAUCCCAGAAUAUCCAUACCUGUACAUGUUCCAAACCAUGGCUGUCUUAUUGAUACCUUUACAUCAGCACCCAGGGUAGAGUGGGGACUAACAGUAACCUCCUUUUCCCUUUUUUCUCUACCCCAUCUCCCCAUCAAGACAGAUGAGUAUAGAAUGAGGGCUUUAAACUUCAAAAUACAGGAUCUUUGUCCAAACACACAGAACAAGCACUCAAAAAUGAGAAGCUAUCACUUCAAUUAUCACAAGGCUAUUUAUAAUCAUUUGAGAUUAUUAGCAGGUUGGCAUAACUGACUCCUGUAUGCAGCCUCCUUCCACACCUCAUUGAAAUAAUCUCAGUUUGACCGAAUUUCAACUAACUCUGUCCAAACAAUCUAUGAUUUUCCACAGCAAUUUUAAAAUUCUGAAACACCUGAAGAUAACUAGAGAAACUUUUAGCCCUCUGUCAGGAAAGUUCUUCUAGAGAUGGAAUAGCAGUCUUCCUUGCUAUGUCUUUGAUACAAACCACUGAAUAAGAAUUCCAACAAGAAUACAAAGUGCAGGGCAUUAGAAGGAAGCAGAGCAAAGGGUUUACAGCAAGGGACUGCUUUGGGGAUAUUGAGACUCCAGGAAGUUUAAAUACCCACUGAUUUUUGCAGCUAAGAAAGUAGCUAUUGUGUUUCUAGGCAAAAUGCUCUCAGUGGCUCUAAGUGAUGCCUGGAAUAAAAAAAAAUUAAUUAUGUACAGUUGAAUAAAUUUCUUUAAAGGACAGAGAUGGCCACGGUCUGACCCUCACACAGCCCAACUCCAGCUCCUUUGUGCUCCUCUCUCUAAUGGAAUGAGAAGCAGAAAUGCUUGUGGCUCCUGAGAACAGUGGGGAGAUAAAAUCAUUCCCUGUCUUGAAGCAGCUCCCAGGACAUCCUACCUGGCACAUAUCUCCUUGUUAUCCUCAGCACUUUCUUUCCUGCCUUUCCAUUUUUGAACCUAGAAAAUGCUUAAGUAAAGCCUGGGGGAGUUUGCUGCCGAGCUCCAGGUGUUCAUGUACAAAUAUAUAUUUAGGGCACUUCCUUUUAAGUGUUGCUGGAGACUGACCAAAAAUAGACACAAAACCCCUCCUAAAAGGCAGUGGCCAAAGGACCUGAGAUCACUGGCACCACAAUAAUGACUGGAAAAGGGAAAGGAAAAGGGAGGAACACCGCAGUAGCAUCAUGUUCCCUUGCUUAAUAUGCCAACCUGCUUGCUAAGCCAAGCUGAAGAGAAGCAGGUCUGGUUUACAAUCAGGCACUCUAAAUAAGGCACUUUCAAAUAUGGGUUGCUCCACUGCCAUUUUUGAUUAUGUGAGAAGUAAAUAGCCUGUAAAAGCUAUUUUCUUUACCCCCGUUCUGGCUGUAUGUACACAAACACAGGGGUGCAUUCUGAGCCUUCUGGAAGGGACAUGACUGCCAUCCUAUUUAACAUUAUAGAGGAGAACAGACUGGGCCACUCACCUCCCUCUGUAACCUUUAUCUGUACAUACAUUUCUCCAUGGAAGUACAAAUAAAAAUUUCUGUGUCAAACAGCUUGGUGUCAAAAGACCAAUGAGUCAUGCACUAUAAACUAUAGACUCCUGGGAGCUUUGUGCAACUGGAGCAGCAGCACAGCAGCAGCAGAAUGCAAACAAUAAAGCAGAAGAAAUACCCAGAAUGUGCUUUUUCUGCUCAACCACUUGAUUUUGAUUAUUAAAUGGCCACAGUGCAGCCUUAACCUCCGUUUUGUGGUUCCCUCUGUGAGUGUUUUGAUACUGGAGUCAGGCUGCUAGGCCUUGUGUUUUGAGACUCUUUGAUUACCCAAAGUUUUGACAGAUGUAAGAACCAUAGCAAACAGAAAGAAAUGAAUGUGAAUCACAGUGGAAACAGGCAGUUAUGAUUUAUUUCUACUUUUGAAAAGCAAUUUCUUUUUUUCUUUAAAAAGAAACCCACAAACAAAAACAAACAAACAAACAAAAAACCAAAGAGAAGUGCACAUUUGAGUGUGUUAUAUUUUCACACACCCCAGUUUGUUAUGUACCAAAGUGCUGGGGUCAGUUCCUUGUGUCACAAACACACCUUAACUUGGGCAACAUGGGGAUAUUUGUUUAUUGACAAAAAUGAUUAUAUUACAUGGUCAAUAAUAUAGACCCUGUGGUCACAAACCCAGAAACUCAGCAAUAACUGACUGGCUAGAUUGGAAGGAAAAAGGAAUGUGUCAUGUAUACUUUUAAUAAACAGCAUCCCCAGACUCACAUAAUGUUGCUUAUGUUGCCAUGAUUUAGGUUAAAUCUUAUGAAAUAGGAAGAAAAAAGCUGCCCAGUAUGCUCACAUUGUUGACCUAAAAACCAUAAAGUGCCAAGCAUGAGCUCCAUAAUAACAACACACCAGGAAUGCAAGUGACUUAUCCAAAAUGCAAAGUCAAAUGCUAAUUUGUCUCUAAGUAAAUCAUGAUUAUAGCCAAUUUGCAAACCAAGCUUAAAAGAUGCAUAAUUAACUAGAUGUCUGUUCCACAUUGGUGGGGAAGAAGGUAUUUUUAACUCUCCCGUGUAUCACCUACACCACGUCAGAUGUGCACUCCUUACCACCACCUCUACAGUCAUCCUGCACAUUCCUGAACUGGGAAGUUGGCUUUUAUCCUGUCCCAGUGGUACUAAACACACACAACUCCUCUAGGGUAAGCACAGACCCCAUAUCUCUAUUUGGAGGCACACCAAAUAGAUCUAAUGCCCUUUUAGCUUUCCCUUUUUAGGAAAAGCUGUUUUGAGUGUCUCUUGGAUGAUUUCCCUGAUGGAAAGUCCAUUCACUGAUGAAGAAACAGUGGCAGUCAACUCCCAGAAAAUACUCCCACCCCUUUAUAGGCAGGGCCUGUGCUUGAAGAGAGGACCCUUAAAAAUGAGAUGUAGCAGCUCUUGCUCUGCAAACUCUCAGGAUAAAUCCAGAUUAAUUUAAUUGACUUCAGUGAAAUCCUUGCAAAACAUUACAGACAUGAGUGAAAAGCCUGAGGAUGGAUGGGACAGGAAUAUGUUGCAAUGCUGGAUGGGAAAAAGUAUCCAGCAAUAAAGGUGGUUUUGUGGGAAUUUUUAAAACCCUACUAUGGAAAAGUACUUCAAAGAAUGAACUCUCUGAAAGUUUCAAGUAUGUGAUUAUGCCUCAUGAAAACCAGUGCAACUAAGGAUAUACCCUAUGAGAGAUGUGCUUUAAGACAAAAGAAUAAAGUUUUUUCCCUAGAAUUAGCUUUAAUCCCUCUUACUUUUUUUGCUUAUUACUAUUGCUACUUAUCCUCUCCCUUCCAGGGCUUGCCUUACACAUUCGCAGGAGCACUUCUUUAUACCAGCACACAGAACAUUUCUUUUUCCAGAAGUUUCUAUGUCUAAAAAGUUUUUGACUGCGAGGAAAGCCAGAACUACCCUGAAACCUCCCAUACAUGCUCCCAGAAGUGAUUUUUAAUCCCCUCGUUGCAUCCCAAUGCCUGCCAAAUACAUGGGGGGCUUGGGGUGCUCAGCCAGUCUCACCAGGAGGGUGUGAAGAGCUGAAGAUGAUGAAGAAGAAGAAAGCUUUUAAUAUUGCAAAACUGCAAAGACCACAGGACUGCACUUGCCACGGCCAUGCUGAAUUUGCCACAGGUUUAUCCCUUGCUCUGCAAGGGCUUUUGAAAACUGGAAUGAUUUGUUAUUUACACAAGUUAUUGAUACAACCCUCAGUUAUAGAUAUAUCCUUUGCAUUUUUUACUGGGACUUAAAAUUCCCCACAGAUGUGCAAGUUUGAUUCCAACAACAGCUUUUUGUUCUCUCAGCCCAGUUAUGCAACCUUCUCUCUCGUGCAAGCACAGCUCCAUGUGUGAUUUCCCUCCAAUUCUAUACAGCCUUGAAAGCAAAGUUUGUGACUAAUAAUUAAAAGCACAGUUCCCAAGGAUAAUGUCUGCUUUCUUUCACAACCUAAACAUUACAGCCACUCUCCUUUUUCACUCUUGUGAUGUCCUUUAAGUUUCCCCAUGGAAACCUUGUUGGGGAUAAACAAGAGAUGAGAACACAGAGAAAGGACAUUUACAAAUUUUAUAUAUAGAUAUACUUGCUAGGAAGUUUUCACUACUACUGCUGUUUUAAGUACAAAAGAUAGAUUAUCACCAAGAAUCAAAGUAAUGAAUUCUUCCCAUUUAAAUCCAGUAAACGGACACAGAUCCAAGGAGUCAAGUCAAAACACACCAGCUGAGCUAUUGAGCAAAACACCAAAUCACUGAGCCAUGUGGAACUGAAGAAAACAAGGAGCAUGUUCUGCUAUCUAAAAACCCAAUGGCCCUCUGUGCUCCCAUCCAGACCUCUUGGAAGGGGCAGCUCCACCCUGGAGAAGGAUGCUGCAGGCCUGGUGGGAGGAUCACAUCAGUACAGUUCUAACUUGCUGGCUGGCUGAAAAAGUGACAGUCAGUGUGAUUUUGCACCUUCUGGACCAUUUUCCUGUCUCCCAAAAGAACUAUACCAGGAGUAUCAAGUGAACAAGUCCAGAUUAUUUCCUGCAGCUGCCUUUCUGGAGCUGGUGAGACUCCUGGCUCCUGCAGCCACAGGCUGGCACAGAUCAGAGCCACCCUCAUGUCUGGGAAAGUUUCACCGCUGUUACUGCUUCAGAGGUGGGAUUUGGUUUAUGCUACACCAGUCCCACACUUCACCUGCUCGUAACUCAUGCCCAUGACACACCCACACAGUUUGCACUUCUUCAGUUUAUUCCUUACCAUCUGCUAGUCAGAUGUUCCAACUAAAUCAAAUUUUACUGCUCCAAUUCUCUUUGAAACAUGCUCCUUUGCCCUUUUGUAGCUCCUCCAAUCAGCUUUACAGUAUUUCCUUUGCAUGCAAAAACCCAACCUGUAACUGUGAGCAUUUGCUCUGAUAUAAGCAAACGCCACAGCCAAGUCAGAGCAUGUUUGAGGGGAAGCAGGGGAAGCCCAGGCACUGCUCACAGGCCAUCCAUCAAGUGUCAGACGCAAAGACUUCCAAACUGCUGAUAAACAACUGGCAUUUCCCCUCACAUGUUACCAAGCAAAGAAACACUCCAGUGUGCCAUCCUUUCUCCUUCAGAUUUACCUCAGCAGAGCCAGGAUAAAGCCAGUUUCCCUCUGGGAGAGAACUCUGAACCGCUGCAGGGUCAGGAGUGUCACUGCAGGACACAGAACCCUGGCACACAUAUUCAGCCUUGUCAGACACAUUCCUUGCUGGUGGGCUCUACUCUGGUUCCUGUGAUGUUUUUGUUGCCCUGUAAAUCACAUUUUUGCCACAAGUACAGCCCAAAGAGCAGAACUGCCUCUGGCCUAUAAGAACAACCUCUGAAGUACUUUGUAGUUCACUUUCCAGAUGCGAAGCACCAGGUUUUGGGGCUGACUGCAAAUAAGCAACAUGACAUUGUUUUCUCAAAAUAGGGCCCAAAUACUGCUUUCACAUAUUCUGCUGUCCCCGUUGUGCCAUGAGGGGGCUCCUGACUCAGACACUGCAGAAAAUGGUGGGAUUUAAUAGAGCAGCCCUUGAAAACCAUCCACAGAGGAUCUUAACAUUCAACAUUUUUGAAAGGUGCCCAUUCAUGCUGCACUUCAGAUGCAGCAUGAACUGAAAGCAACUGAAAUAUCAGCAACUGCCACAACUACUCUGCCAAAUCUGUAGGUUUCUCAUGCAAUUAAUUUUCAUGUACUCAUUCCCAUGCCAUCGGCAGAGUGAACUUCCAGCCCUUCCAGGAAUAUCUACAUUUUGCAUCUUUGCUUGUUACAUUUGCUUCAGGUGAUAAAACAGCACUUUGCAAAAUGCCAGUUCCUGCUAUCAUCUAAACCCACUCUGCAAACAGAUGAGGGCCACAAAGUUCCCAGCAAGGGCUUGCCUGAAUGGCAUCAGCCCUCAGUGUUCCCCUGUCAAACUCACCCAUGAGCUGCUGGCUCAGCACAGGCAGGACAGUGCAGCCCCAGCUCCAGCCUUGGAGAGAUUUGGGAAUAAAUCAGGAAACAAAACCAAACUAAGGCUGUCAGCCCCACAGGAGACAGGCCCACAAACAUUUCUGAAGCAAGAACAUCUUGCUGUUUCCUAGAGGGCCCUUGAUGUAUUUUCCCUAAAAGCUUCUUUUAUCACCACUUGCUGCUUCAUUUCCUGCUUGCUGUCCUGACCAGCCUUUUAUUACUGUAAUUUAAUAGUAAGAGACUAAAACCAAGCAGGUAAAUCAAAGGCUUAUAACAUUCAUUAUAGUGAUCUUUCCCUCAUAUCCUCAUGUAUAAUAAAAACCUUUGCAAAGUUUGAAAAAAAAAA